rnacentral:lncRNA from 1 species
CACACAUAAGAUAUAAAAGAACAAGAAUCUCAAAUAGAAGAAAUAAAGGUCCCAAAUCAAUUACAUUAUUCGCCCUAAAAUAAAUUUAGCUAAACAUAUUAAUGAAAGAAAAGCAAGAUAAAUUCAUGGAAGACAUCACCCAAUUUAUUGACGGAAUGUGAUAAAAGUUUUGGCAACGUGAAUAAUCCGACUUUGUGUAACUGCCUCCUCAAUGUUUUUCCUCCCAACCGGCAAUUUGUGCAUGUAAUUUUCAGCAGCCAGCAACUUAAUCUUCCACCCAGAAGCCAAAAUUUUUGUGUGUGGAGAUGAAUUUCAGCAACCCCAGCCUUAUUAAUUCAACUGUCUUCUUUGCUUCGGUUUCCGUGCAUAUAUAAAUAACAUCUAGCAGCCGCUAAUUAACUCCAAACAAAAAGGGACUCCCUGUUCUGCCGCAGAAAUUGAUUUUCCCCAGAAAACUCUCUCCC